rnacentral:rRNA from 1 species
AGAGUUUGAUCAUGGCUCAGGACGAACGCUGGCGGCGUGCUUAACACAUGCAAGUCGAGCGGAAAGGCCCUUCGGGGUACUCGAGCGGCGAACGGGUGAGUAACACGUGAGCAACCUGCCCUUGGCUCUGGGAUAGCUCCGGGAAACCGGGAUUAAUACCGGACAUGACCUGCCUCCGCAUGGGGGCGGGUGGAAAGUUUUUCGGCCAGGGAUGGGCUCGCGGCCUAUCAGCUUGUUGGCGGGGUAGUGGCCCACCAAGGCGACGACGGGUAGCCGGCCUGAGAGGGCGACCGGCCACACUGGGACUGAGACACGGCCCAGACUCCUACGGGAGGCAGCAGUGGGGAAUAUUGCGCAAUGGGCGGAAGCCUGACGCAGCGACGCCGCGUGCGGGAUGAAGGCCUUCGGGUUGUAAACCGCUUUCAGCAGGGACGAAGCGAGAGUGACGGUACCUGCAGAAGAAGCGCCGGCUAACUACGUGCCAGCAGCCGCGGUAAUAC